rnacentral:rRNA from 1 species
GACGAACGCUGGCGGCGUGCUUAACACAUGCAAGUCGAACGGAAAGGCCCUGCUUUUGUGGGGUGCUCGAGUGGCGAACGGGUGAGUAACACGUGAGUAACCUGCCCUUGACUUUGGGAUAACUUCAGGAAACUGGGGCUAAUACCGGAUAGGAGCUCCUGCUGCAUGGUGGGGGUUGGAAAGUUUCGGCGGUUGGGGAUGGACUCGCGGCUUAUCAGCUUGUUGGUGGGGUAGUGGCUUACCAAGGCUUUGACGGGUAGCCGGCCUGAGAGGGUGACCGGCCACAUUGGGACUGAGAUACGGCUCAGACUCCUACGGGAGGCAGCAGUGGGGAAUAUUGCACAAUGGGCGGAAGCCUGAUGCAGCAACGCCGCGUGCGGGAUGACGGCCUUCGGGUUGUAAACCGCUUUCGCCUGUGACGAAGCGUGAGUGACGGUAAUGGGUAAAGAAGCACCGGCUAACUACGUGCCAGCAGCCGCGGUGAUACGUAGGGUGCGAGCGUUGUCCGGAUUUAUUGGGCGUAAAGGGCUCGUAGGUGGUUGAUCGCGUCGGAAGUGUAAUCUUGGGGCUUAACCCUGAGCGUGCUUUCGAUACGGGUUGACUUGAGGAAGGUAGGGGAGAAUGGAAUUCCUGGUGGAGCGGUGGAAUGCGCAGAUAUCAGGAGGAACACCAGUGGCGAAGGCGGUUCUCUGGGCCUUUCCUGACGCUGAGGAGCGAAAGCGUGGGGAGCGAACAGGCUUAGAUACCCUGGUAGUCCACGCUGUAAACGGUGGGUACUAGGUGUGGGGUCCAUUCCACGGGUUCCGUGCCGUAGCUAACGCUUUAAGUACCCCGCCUGGGGAGUACGGCCGCAAGACUAAAACUCAAAGGAAUUGACGGGGCCCCGCACAAGCGGCGGAGCAUGCGGAUUAAUUCGAUGCAACGCGUAGAACCUUACCUGGGUUUGACAUGGAUCGGGAGUGCUCAGAGAUGGGUGUGCCUCUUUUGGGGUCGGUUCACAGGUGGUGCAUGGCUGUCGUCAGCUCGUGUCGUGAGAUGUUGGGUUAAGUCCCGCAACGAGCGCAACCCUUGUUCACUGUUGCCAGCACGUUAUGGUGGGGACUCAGUGGAGACCGCCGGGGUCAACUCGGAGGAAGGUGGGGAUGACGUCAAGUCAUCAUGCCCCUUAUGUCCAGGGCUUCACGCAUGCUACAAUGGCUGGUACAGAGAGUGGCGAGCCUGUGAGGGUGAGCGAAUCUCGGAAAGCCGGUCUCAGUUCGGAUUGGGGUCUGCAACUCGACCUCAUGAAGUCGGAGUCGCUAGUAAUCGCAGAUCAGCAACGCUGCGGUGAAUACGUUCCCGGG